rnacentral:lncRNA from 1 species
UUGGUCCAUGCACAAAGCAUCUUGGCCAUUUGGGCUUGCCAAGUUGUAUUGAUGGGAGCUAUUGAGGGUUACCGUGUUGCUGGUGGACCUCUUGGUGAGGUUACCGACCCACUCUACCCCGGUGGUAGCUUUGACCCAUUAGGUCUUGCUGAUGACCCAGAGGCUUUUGCUGAGCUCAAGGUGAAGGAGAUUAAAAACGGUAGACUUGCUAUGUUCUCCAUGUUCGGAUUCUUCGUUCAAGCUAUUGUCACCGGAAAAGGUCCAUUAGAGAACCUUGCUGAUCACCUUGCUGACCCCGUUAACAACAACGCCUGGGCCUAUGCCACAAACUUUGUCCCAGGAAAGUAAAGUUCUUAAAGAGUCUCUUUUAGUACCAAAUUGUCUGAUGUCCUUGUGAAACUGAUGUAAAUUACUGGAGAUUAUAUAAGAAUUUUGUUCAAUUGGUUAGUUCUCAGUUACAUUUUCUGUGCUAUCCAUAAAUUAAGUACAAGUUUUAAAAAAAUGAGGUUAAAUAAGGAACUUGGCAUUUCUGAGGUACUAAAACAAAUAUAAUAAUAGUAUCGUAACAACAAUGCGUUCAAAGUUUCAAACAACAGCUUGCAGAGCAGAGGAAACUGAUAUUAAAAUUGAAAAGAGAGGCUAAUAAUUUUCUUCCAAAUAUAUACAAAAUUCUAUGUAUGCCAACAAAAUUUGUAGGCAUUGUUCUGCACUUCUACAUAUAUAUACAACUAUGUUCUUGCCGUUUCUUUGCCCAGAUUAGGGUUUAAAGACACAACUGCCUAGCAAUAUUAUCCUUGUUUGUUCCGAUAUUUUUUGGUUGCUACAGUGAACUAGUGUUAUAGAGAAGAUAUAUUACAACAUUACACAGACACAAUUAGAGUGAAUGAUCGUUAUAUAGAGACAUUCUUGUACAUUCAAGUAUACAAUCUUCACAAAAUUACUUGAAACUUUAAAUAACUAAAUGGACAAUAAGGUGACCAUUUGAGCACAGUGUGUUCUAGGAAAUCAAACAAAUCAGACCAGAGCUCAUUAUGCUUGCCUUUACUGGAGCUGCUAUUUAUCAAAAUUGUGGUCCAGACAUGAGAGAUUGGGAAAUCAUUAUUUCUCAGAUGUUGUAACGUCUCAAAAACAGUAAACAACAUUUUUGUUGGUAUCAGAGAAAUUCACAAACCCAAUAGCCAGAACUAUGAUCCGGGCAACAGAGACAAAUUCUGCAAACUAUACAAGUUAGUGUACGAAAGAGAGAACCUGUCUCCUCUAUCCACAAAAAUGGUUCUUCUUGAGGUAGCUCAAAAGAGUCUGUCUCAUACUCUAAGGACCAGACAACAAUAAAGCAAAUUGCUGAUAAAAAUGGGUUAGUGUGCGUCGAUUAAAUUGCUGGUAAAUGAUCAAACAUUUCCCAAAAACAGUUGGAGGAUAGCUCGUUCAUCUUAUUUAUUAAAUCAGUUUAACCAAGCAGCUUUUCAUUUGUACGAACCUUAGUCUGCUGAUUAUAGCCAUAGACUGAUGCAUAUGCUGUGCAUCAAUAGAAGCCUUCAUCUUGAAUGACGUUCAGCCAUUUUAUCUUCCUCUAUAUCUUUAGUGACAUGUCCGCUGGUUGGCCUACAAAAUAUACAUGUAAAACAUCAAGCCAAGAAUUUGUGUAACAUGAAAGGCAGAGCAAAUAUGAUUUGUUCUAUUCAUUCAAGGACAAUCAUUGUUAAUCAGUCACCCAAAUGGACACAUAUUGAUCAUAGCUAAAACAAUAUUACUCAAAAAAAUUGGCAGAACCUUACAAUAUACAAGACAGAGUGAAUGCUGGUGACAGGCGAAUUCAGAAGAAUAAGCGAAACAAAUAUCUCAAAAACUUUAUUAACCCUUUUGAAAUCUCUUAUACAACCCAUGUGGGAAAACCAUCUAAUUCAAGCGGUGUUACAUGAUUUUGGGUUACAAGUCAACUUUAAUACGGAACUUUGAGUGCGAGAAUCAGCUUGCCUGCUC